rnacentral:sRNA from 1 species
AAGGGCGCACGGUGGAUGCCUUGGCACUAGGAGCCGAUGAAGGACGGGACUAACACCGAUAUGCUUUGGGGAGCUGUACGUAAGCUAUGAUCCAGAGAUUUCCGAAUGGGGGAACCCAGCAUCUUUAAUAGGAUGUUACGAUUGUGUGAAUACAU